GGUUAAGGCCACACAGCCUGGUUCACGCCCGAUCUCGUUUGAUCUCGGAAGAUAAGAUAGGUUGGUCCUGGUUAGUACUUGGAUGAGAGACCGCCUGGGAAUACCAGGUGCUGUAAGCU
rnacentral:rRNA from 1 species